CUGGCUUUACCUCUUUUGCAUGAGGUUUUGUUGGUUCAUAAAGCUUCAAAACUUCAUCCUCCAUUUAUGUUAAAUGAAUCUAUGUUAUCUGGUAUAUGAUAUUUUUUGCAUGCUUAGUUCUUUUUCAGCAUGUAAUAUGCCUGUAGAAGUUUAAAGUUUCUUCCUAUCCAUGUAUACUGGCUUUACCUCUUUUGCAUGAGGUUUUGUUGGUUCAUAAAGCUUCAAAACUUCAUCCUCAAUCUAUGUUAUCUAGGAUAUGAUUUUUUUCAUGCUUAGUUCUUUUUUAGCAUGUAAUAUGCCUGUGGAAGUUUAAUGUUUCUUCCUUUCCAUGUGUAUUGGCUUAACCUCUUUUGCAUGCAAAUUUGAU
rnacentral:lncRNA from 1 species